rnacentral:lncRNA from 1 species
CUGUCCCCACGUCCAUGUCCGUGUGUCUGUCCCCAUGUCCCCCAGCCAUGUCCAUGUCCGUGUGUCUGUCCCCAUGUCCAUGUCCGUGUGUCUGUCCAUGUCCCCAGCCAUGUCCCCGUGUCCGUGUGUCUGUCCAUGUCCCCAUGUCCCCAUCCCUGUGUCCCCAUCCCUGUCCCUGUGUCCAAGUCCAUGUCCGUGUGUCUGUCCCCAUCCCUGUCCCGGUGUCCAUGUCCCCAUGUCCCCGUGUCCCCAUCAGUGUCCCCAUUGGUGUCACACUCACGCAGCCCGGUGGACUCCAUGCGCGACGCCGUGUUCACCGUGUCCCCGAACAGGCAGUACCGCGGCAUCUUCAGCCCCACCACGCCCGCACACACCGGGCCUGGGGACACCUGGGUGUCACCGCUGGGGUGCCACUCCCGUCCCCAUUCCCAUUCCUGUCCCCAUUCCCAUUCCCAUUCCCAUUCCCGUUCCCAAUCCCAUCCCCAUUUCCCAUUCCCAUCCCUGUUCCUGUUCCCACCAGUGUGGAUGCCGAUGCGCAGCUCCAUUUCCCAUUUCCAUUCCCAAUCCCAUUUCCCAUUCCCAUUUCUCCGUUCCCAUCCCCAUCCCCAUUCCCACCAGUGUGGAUACCAAUGCCCAUUCCCCAUCCCCAUUUCCCAGUUCCCAUUCCCAUUCCCAUUUCCCAUUUCCCCAUCCCUGUUCCCAUUCCCAUCCCCAUGACCGUUCUCACCGGUGUGGAUACCAAUGCCCAUUCCCCAUUCCCAUUUCCCAGUUCCCAUUCCAUUUCCCAUCCCUGUCCCCAUCCCCAUUCCCAUUCCUAUUUCCCAAUCCCAUCCCCAUUCCCACCACUGUGGAUUCCCAUCUCCAUUCCCAUUCCCCCAUCCCCGUUCCCAUUCCUGUCCCCAUUUCCCUGUUCCCAUUUCCACCAAUGUGGAUGCCAAUGCCCAUUCCUGUUCCCCAUUCCCAUUUCCCGUACCCAUUCCCAUUCCCAUUCUCAUUCCCGUUCCCAAUUCCGUUCAUCCCCACCGGUGUGGAUGCCAAUGCCCAUUCCCAUUUCUCAUUCCCACCAGUGUGGAUUCCCAUCUCCAUUCCCAUUUCCAAUCCCAUUCCCAUCCCCAUUUCCCCGUUCCCAAUCCCAUUUCCAAUCCCAUUCCCAUCCCCAUUUCCCCAUUCCCAUUUCCCCAUUCCCAUUUCCCCAUUCCCAAUCCCAUUUCCAUCCCCAUUUCCCCGUUCCCAAUCCCAUUUCCAAUCCCAUCCCCAUUUCCCCAUUCCCAAUCCCAUUCCCAUCCCCAUUUCCCCAUUCCCAAUCCCAUUUCUCCCAUUCCCAUUCCCAUUUUUCCCGUUCCCAUUCCCGUUCAUCCCCACCGGUGUNCCACCCAUGGACUCAUUUCAGGGGUCACCUCCCGCCUCAAAAUCCUCUCUGGAUGUCAUCCCUCAUCUGGGGACUCUUUUUGGGGGUCACCUCCCACCCAUGGACCAUUUUAGGGUGUCACCUCACAUCUGGGGGAUCUUUUUCAGGGGUCACCUCCCAGCUGGGGACUCUUUUUGGGAGUCAUCUCCCACCCAUGGACCAUUUUCAGGGGUCAUCUCCCACCCAUGGACCCUUUUCGGGGGUCACCUCCCGCCUCAAAAUCCUCUCUGGAUGUCAUCCCUCAUCUGGGGACCCUUUUUGAGGGUCACCUCCCACCCAUGGACCCUUUUCAGGGGUCACCUCCCACCCCUGGCUCCUUUCUAGGGGUCAUCUCCCACCCAUGGCCUCAUUUCGGGGGUCACCUCCCGCCUCAAAAUUCUCUCUGGAGGUCAUCCCUCAUCUGGGGACUCUUUUUGGGGGUCACCUCUCACCCAUGGACCAUUUUAGGGUGUCACCUCACAUCUGGGGACCUUUUUCAGGGGUCACCUCCCAGCUGGGGACUCUUUUUGGAGGUCAUCUCCCACCCACAGACUCUUUUUGAAGGUUACCUCCCAUCUAGGGACUUUUUGGGGGUCAUCUUCCAUCUCAGGACCCUUUUUGGGAGUCAUCUCCCAUCCAUGGACUCUUUUCAGGGGUCACCUCCCAUCCAUGGACUCUUUUCAGGGGUCACCUCCCACCUCAAAAUCCUCUCUGGAUGUCAUCCCUCAUCCAGGGACCCUUUUUGAGGGUCACCUCCCACCCAGGGACCUUCUCUGGAUGUCACCCCUCAUCUGGGGACCCUUUCCGAUGGUCAUCACCCACCCAGGAACCCUUUUUGGGGGUCACCUCCCACCCAGGGACCCUCUCUGGAUGUCACCCCUCAUCUGGGGACCCUUUCCGAUGGUCACCACCCACCCAGGAACCCUUUUUGAGGGUCACCCCUCACCCAGGGACCCUCUCUGGAGGCCACCCCUCAACUGGGGACUCUUCCUUGGGGUCACCACCUACUCAGGAACCCUCUCUGGAUGCCACCCCUCAUCUGAGGACCCUUUCUGAUGGUCACCACCCACCCAGGGGCCCUCUCCGGGGGUCCCUGGUGGCACCUGUUGAANUGUCCCCAAUGUCCCCACGGUGUCCCCAGGUGUCCCCAGUGUCCCCAUGGUGUCCCCAAUGUCCCCAAUGUCCCCAUGGUGUCCCCAAGUGUCCCCAAGUGUCCCCACAGUGUCCCCAAGUGUCCCCAUGGUGUUCCCACCCGCUCACCCUCCCCGUUGGACUCCAUGCGUGACGCCGUGUUCACGGUGUCCCUGUGGUGUCCCCAAUGUCCCCAAGGUGUCCCCACAGUGUC